rnacentral:rRNA from 1 species
UGGGGAAUCUUCCGCAAUGGGGCGAAAGCCUGACGGAGCAACGCCGCGUGAGUGAUGACGGCCUUCGGGUUGUAAAGCUCUGUGAUCGGGGACGAAUGGUCCGUAAGCUAAUAUCUUAUGGAAGUGACGGUACCCGAAUAGCAAGCCACGGCUAACUACGUGCCAGCAGCCGCGGUAAUACGUAGGUGGCAAGCGUUGUCCGGAAUUAUUGGGCGUAAAGCGCGCGCAGGCGGCUUUCUAAGUCCAUCUUAAAAGUGCGGGGCUCAACCCCGUGAGGGGAUGGAAACUGGUCUUCUUGAGUGCAGGAGAGGAAAG